rnacentral:rRNA from 1 species
GCACGGGUGCUUGCACCUGGUGGCGAGUGGCGAACGGGUGAGUAAUACAUCGGAACAUGUCCUGUAGUGGGGGAUAGCCCGGCGAAAGCCGGAUUAAUACCGCAUACGAUCUACGGAUGAAAGCGGGGGACCUUCGGGCCUCGCGCUAUAGGGUUGGCCGAUGGCUGAUUAGCUAGUUGGUGGGGUAAAGGCCCACCAAGGCCGACGAUCAGUAGCUGGUCUGAGAAGA